CUUGUACAACCCGCCCGUCAAGCCAUGGAAGCUGGGGGUACCUGAAGUCGGUGACCGCAAGGAGCUGCCUAGGGUAAAACUGGUAACUAGGGCUAAGUCGUAACAAGGUAGCCGUACCGGAAGG
rnacentral:rRNA from 2 species